rnacentral:lncRNA from 1 species
GAAGAAAUCCCAUCCAUCAUUAUAUAUUUUCACUUGAAAUGAAUAGAAAUUCAGCCAUAAGUCAUGAUUCUUUGCCACCCAUUCUUCACGCUUGAAAAGCUAUAACAGAUUGUUGAUUUCGAAGGAGAAAAAAUAAAAUUUCUAUACACAUUAUGAUGGUCUUAGGCAGGCUCCCCGUGCCCAAUAAAAGAUUGAUCGACUUAAUUCUUUCAUUCACGAAAGUACUUGCCUCUCUCUCGCACCAACUCUCUAGCCCAACUUCUGAUUUAGAUUCUCUCCUGCAGAGCUGGAGUACGAUUUUGGCCGAGUAGGAUGCAGAUAUUUAUUGCUGCAGCACAAAAGCUUCAGACUACUUUUCUAGCCUGCACAAGUUCUCAACUUCGACAGCAUUGUUUUGCGACACCAUGUUGCAACGGUGUUGAUCCAAGAAAAAAUUCGCAAAAUUAAUCGGUAGUAAUAAAAACGUAGCAUUGUGCAUUAAAGCAGCUCGCCUGCAAAUUGCAGUCUUGCCAUCUAAAUGAAUACAGGAAAAAGAGUCAUCAAAAUCAGUGAAGAUAUCCAUGGCCAGGUUCUAAAUCAAUUACCAUGAUGAGAAUAAGUACUUCUGCCAGCUGACAGAUGUUUUUACAACUCGCAUCUAAAACCUUCCUUUUCAUUUAUAGAAAUGCCUAAAGAUAAUGCAUAUAUGAUCAGAUACGCUAACAGUCCUUGCAUCAUCAGAGAGUAUGAGACCUAGCAAGUUUCAAAUUGUAGAUUCGAUCAAACGUGUGCCCUUGUGUGUACACAUCAUCGAGGAGAAGAAGGCCCAGACUAUCACAAACCCAGAAACAGCAUUCUCAUGUGUCAGACUUCUUAAACAUCAUCCACCUUGAAGUCCUCAAUAAUAGAACUUUACACCAAAUCAAAAGGGAAACAACAAUAGCUAGAGACAACAGCAAUCUUUCCUAAAACUAGACUGUGGUAUCAAAUGAUAAGGUCGUCAAAAUUCUUAAAGUCGAGAUCCUAUGAAUCAUAUUGACAGUCCAGAGCGACCAACAUCAGAAAACAGAAAUAUUUAUAGCCAGCUACAAUUCCCAACAAGCAACCACUCUUCCAAUCAAUUAACAUAAAACACCCUUAUCAGACUCUGGAUCACUAAACAUCAAAUCCUUACCUCAGUUUAGCACCAACACCCAUGACUCGAGUAGCUGAUUCUGUAACUUUACAAUGGUCAUUAGACCUAGUAAUCACCAUUACGAUCCAUGAGACUACGUCUAAAACAAUGGUUGUCGGAUCAGUUUGAGAUCCAUAAACCCUAAUGGAAGGUCAUCCAACAUAAAGCAUAAUAGGAGUGUCAGUCAGGAAAGCCUAUUAAAAUGACAAGUCUUAUUACAAUGUCAGAUAUCAAGGGAUUAACAGCUCUAUUAUCAUUGCCCAAAAGCUGGACAUCCAUGCAACUUGAUCUGUCAGAACUAUGAUAUACAUAUUUACCAAAGAUGAGAAAGAAGAGUAGAUAAUUUUAGAUAAUUUAGAAAUGCUUUUCACCAUUGCAAAGAUGAGAAAGAGGAAUAGAUAAUUUUAGAUAAUUUAGAAAUGCUUUUCACCAUUGCAAAGAUGAGAAAGAGGAAUAGAUAAUUUUAGAUAAUUUAGAAAUGCUUUUCACCAUUGCAAAGAUGAGAAAGAGGAAUAGAUAAUUUUAGAUAAUUUAGAAAUGCUUUUCACCAUUGCAAAGAUGAGAAAGAGGAAUAGAUAAUUUUAGAUAAUUUAGAAAUGCUUUUCAUCACUGCAAAAAAGCAGAAGAGAUUACAAGCAUAAAAAUUUAUUACAAGAAAUAUCCAUAUGAUAUAAUGAGAACUCAAAUCCUGUAAAAAUCAAUCACCUAGCGAAAAAGCGCAAUUUACUAGACCGGCAUUAUGAGGUGUACUUCAAUCAAGGCCGUCAUGAAUAGCAUUACAUCUUCAUUUACAAUUGGCUAGCCUAGAAGCGAAAUCUUUUAGAAGGAACAAAAAUGAUGAAAAAAAUAAAGAAAUGCAAACAAAGUAUUGACGAGACUAAAUUCAUCUCUCAUUAACUUUAUCAAAUUCGCAUCUAAAUCUAAUUCAUUGACAACCCUAAUCAUAUCUCAUCUACAUCCUUGACAAUCAAUCGUCUUGGUAAUCUUU